AAGACUUUUGUCCAAGCACAAUCUGACCUUUCUGUCCUAAUUAAAUGGUAAAACUCAAUGAAUGAUACAAAACUUUAUUUUGUACUAAGAGGAAGAAAAUAAGAAAAACCUUUAUUAGUCCCUCAGUAGGGAAAUUGCAUUUUG